UCUCGUGUGAGGAGUGCAGACGCUACUCAGGGUCGAAACAAGGACAGACUCCUGAGGUUGUCUGAAUU
rfam:Marine metagenome 1096626442623, whole genome shotgun sequence.